UACAUUAUUAAUAUUCCUGAUUCCACUCGACUGCCUUGUCCUUGCACACCACAACUCUUUGGAUUCUACAGGAACUACUGGGGUUGCUGAGCAACACAAUAGGCAGCCCCGACAAUGUUGUGCCACAAGGCAGCAGCCUUGAAAGAGCUUCUGGGAAGUCGCGCAGUGCUACUUCCACUCUUUCCAAUAAUGCUCUGCGGUGUGCACACUGUAUAGUUGUGAUACCAGGAAUUCCAUGUAAACAGAAGGAGUGUGAAAUUACAUCUGAGGGAACCUGCAUUUCCCUUAUAACUUACAGAGAUGAAAAGAUUAUUGACAAAGUGCUAAGCUGCAUGAGGACGGACUUAGCGAGAUGUGGUCUCACACGCAUUGGGCCAGAGAAAGGCAUCCGUUCCACAGUCACCUGUUGCAGAGAUUCUAAUUUCUGUAAUUCAGGCGGAAAAAAAACUGAAGAUCAUCUGCUUCAUUAUUAAUAGCGUUCAG